GUACUUACCUGAGAGGGGAGAGACCAUCAUGGUGAAGGUGGUUUUCCCACCUGUGACUUCUCCAAAUGUGGAAAACUCGACUGUGCAAUUGUUAUAGUGAGCAACUGUAUCCAAACUCUCUCC
rnacentral:snRNA from 1 species